rnacentral:rRNA from 1 species
GUGCCAGCCGCCGCGGUAAUACGUAGGGUGCGAGCGUUGUCCGGAAUUACUGGGCGUAAAGAGCUCGUAGGUGGUUUGUCGCGUCGUCUGUGAAAUUCUGGGGCUUAACUCCGGGCGUGCAGGCGAUACGGGCAUAACUUGAGUGCUGUAGGGGUAACUGGAAUUCCUGGUGUAGCGGUGAAAUGCGCAGAUAUCAGGAGGAACACCGAUGGCGAAGGCAGGUUACUGGGCAGUUACUGACGCUGAGGAGCGAAAGCAUGGGUAGCGAACAGGAUUAGAUACCCUGGUAGUCAACGGCGAAUUCGUU